GACAGAGGGUGCAAACGUUGUUCGGAAUUACUGGGCGUAAAGGGCGCGUAGGCGGACAGUUUAGUCAGAGGUGAAAGCCCAGGGCUCAACCUUGGAAUUGCCUUUGAUACUGGCUGUCUUGAGUUCGGGAGAGGUGAGUGGAAUGCCGAGUGUAGAGGUGAAAUUCGUAGAUAUUCGGCGGAACACCAGUGGCGAAGGCGACUCACUGGCCCGAUACUGACGCUGAGGCGCGAAAGCGUGGGGAGCAAACAGG
rnacentral:rRNA from 1 species